rnacentral:lncRNA from 1 species
UAUGGUGGGGCAAAUGAAAUACAUUGCCCCUGGGUUGGACAGUGUGAUGACAGUGUUCCCAUCGCUGUAGGAUUUAAUAGCAUUGCCGGUGUUGCAAUUAUCGUAGUCGCUCUUGGAUACUUCCUCCACCGAGUGGCUGCCACCGUAGGUAAACACUAAAACGAAACAAAUACAAACAGGGUCAUUCAUAUUGCUAUCUUACUUUGGCUUAAUUUUGGUAAGGAAGCAACUUACAAAGUGUGUCGCCUACGGUGAAUGUUUUCCCUUGAACCCAACUUUGGUAAUCUCCGGUCG